rnacentral:lncRNA from 1 species
CGGGUUAUUGAUCGGGUAAAUGGGUCAAGAAUUUUAACCCUAACCCGACACGGAAAAAAAUUGUGUUGACCCGAACCCGACCCAUUUAAUAAUCGUGUUAAAUUCGACGACCCAUACUCAUUUAUUGGUGUCGUGUUCGUGUCGGGUAAUCGGGCAGUGUCAAAUUUUGCCAGCUCUAUUCACAACAAGCGUGUUACCGUGAGAUGAGAUAUGUCAUGUUUAAUAUAGGAAAAAUAAUAACUCUACAACGUUCAAGUUAUAAAAAAUGUAAGAUAACUAAUUACUAUUCAAAAUAAAUACUAAAUCAAGUUAAAUAAAUACCAUA